UCUUCCCAACAGGUGGUGAAAAGUGGAUCUUCAGAGACUCGGGUGGAGAAGAGAAUCGUCAUAACUGCAGAGUCUGACUUUGACCAAGAUAUGGAGAGAGACGGCGGAGCAUCAGCAUUGUGAAUCAACACCUGCAUUUACCCUUUGGCUCUUCACCUCAGACACACACCGACCGGCUCUACCUGCGCACACAUAUCCCAGGACAAUAUCUCGUAAAUAUGCACCUACCUUUAUAGGUGAAAGAGUAGAUACAUCUAAGUAGAUCCUCUUUGUUUUUCCAGUUAUACGUAGUGGGGGGGGCUGCACAGUGCUCAAGUCUACGGCUUAUCUCAUACUGGUGUUAAAAAGCUUACUAUACAAUCUUUUAUUGGUUAAAAAAACAUCAUUUUCAGUCUAGUGAUCUAAGUUAUGUUUGCUUUUAAAUGCUUUUAUUUUCCUAGUGGUUUUUACAUUUUUUGGUUUUAUACAAAUGCACUGUUUCAAUUCUAGUAUAGACACCAUUAUCAGCAUUUAUUCCCUUGGUGAUGCUGGGGGAACGUUAAGACUACAUUCAAGGGAAUUAUUUUUGUUUACAUGUCUAUUUAAUUCAAGAGAAAGAAUUGUUUAAAACAAAAUGACGUACCUCGCAUCAAUAAGUGAGCAAAGACAUUCUGUGCUUAAAUGUGGACAGUUGUUCCCUGCUCAGUUACAAAAACAAAAAGUCAAAAGCAAGUUCUUCACUAACCAGCCAAGAACCAGCAGCCUACACAUUAUUGUAAAGUUUUAAUCCAAAAAUUGAUCUAUUUUCAAAUAUUUCUCUAUUUUAUAGAAUUAAUGCUUUUAUAGAAUGUUUACACAUUUGAGGUUUUUAAGUUAUUCAUCCAUCUGCUCGUGGAAUUGCAGGUUACCAUUGUGCUGUUUACUGAACUUUGAGGUCUCUACUAAAGACCUGUCUUGCCUGAAUCAUUCUUAUUCGUUUCCUCUUGUAGUCCACCAAGUUUAUCAAACCUUUAACAAUAAGACAAGGGAGUGCUUCCCUCAGCCCUUUGUUUUGUUCAGUAGUAGAAAGUCAUAUUUCUUUUAAUAUAUUUGGUUGAUAAGAAAAGUUUUACAAGCUUUGGUCUGUUAAUCUCAGGUUUUGAUAUUCUUUGUAAGACUACAGACCUCCAUAUGAUUGUACGAGGAAUGUCCAUAUAUGUAUACCCAGCCAAGUGAGGUCAAUACAUGCAAAGCUGGUUUGUCCCAGUAACCGUGCGAGAGGAGGUACAGGCAGCUGUCCCAGUAUAUAUGUGGCUUUUCUCUCAUAGGAGCACAAGUUGUCUUUUUUACAUGUUCUACUAUACAGUAAUUUAUUUGUAAAGUAGGAACUGUUGUGUGAUUUGAUGUACUGUGAUGUUUCAACACAAGCUGUUUUCCAGGCUUUCACUAGAGAUGUCACAAUGUUAAAUAUUGCAUUAAUUAUCAACCAAGUUUGUAAAGCCUUUUUACCACAUAGUCUAAGUAGAUUGCUCACACUUGCUGUUUCCUGUGCUUUUUCAUAGAAGAGAAAACACUUAAAAUAUAUGAAUCCCUUUUUAGAUAGCAUGUUUGUUAGCCAUUUGUUUUUUUUCUACCCAAAAAUAAGCCAUUGGUAUUGUAGCUACAUGGACAACAACAGAAACCUCUCCUGGAAGAAAAUGUAGAAUUUCACAUGAAGAAAAUAGUUGUUAGACAAUGGAAAAUAUUUUUGCUUUGUGACUUAUCCCUGUCUUUUUAUGAAAUAAUAAAAUAUGCAUAAUUUUG